UCAGUCGGUAGAACGGCGGACUGUUAAUCCGUAUGUCACUGGUUCGAGUCCAGUCAGAGGAGCCA
rnacentral:tRNA from 3 species